rnacentral:lncRNA from 1 species
CGCCUCGUCCUCCCUGGCGAGCUCGCCAAGCACGCCGUCUCCGAGGGCACCAAGGCCGUCACCAAGUUCACCUCCUCCUAGGCUUCAUCCUCGUUUCUCAAUCCGUUGGACUCUGUAUGUAGUUAGCUGCAAGAUUGUGUUCUGAAUGUGUAAUCUUGUGCUGCUUGUGGGUCUGAAGAAAUAUUCAUAGGACUGGUUAAUGAAUAUUUUUGCCGCUUGAAGAAAUAUUGUGUGUCACAUCAGAUUCUUCUUGCUGUGUGUGUUUUACUACUCGGUUUCAUCUGGAAGGGGUUCAUGGGAUGGCCAUGAAAUACUUCAUUUUUCUUCUUUGUACCUUUCCCUUAGCGAACAGUCUCUGCCGAUGCUGCCUCUGAAGUUGCAUGGAGCUUGCCUUUGUUCUCCUUUUAAUUUGUACUUGUAUUUGUAGUUUGUAUUUCUGUUGAUUCUUGUAGUGCUGUUCGUGUUGUGUUGUGAGGCCACUAGCUUUGAAUCAGAUGAACAUGCCGAUUUUUGUGUUCUCUGUUCCACAAUGUGAUGGAGGUGUGACAGUUCUAUAUGCACAAAGGAGACUCUGAAUAGCAUAGUGAUAACAUCAUUACAAGAGCUAUGUUAUCUGUCUGCAUUUCUCUUGCACCAAAUCUGAGAGUUAUUUCAGACUUUCAGUUGACACUGCAACAUUCCAG